rnacentral:rRNA from 1 species
UACGAAGGGGGCUAGCGUUGUUCGGAAUUACUGGGCGUAAAGCGCACGUAGGCGGAUUUGUAAGUCAGGGGUGAAAUCCCGGGGCUCAACCUCGGAACUGCCUUUGAUACUGCGGAUCUCGAGUCCGAUAGAGGUGAGUGGAAUUCCUAGUGUAGAGGUGAAAUUCGUAGAUAUUAGGAAGAACACCAGUGGCGAAGGCGGCUCACUGGAUCGGUACUGACGCUGAGGUGCGAAAGCGUGGGGAGCAAACAGG